AGCGGCGGACGGGUGAGUAACGCGUGGGAAUGUACCCUUCUCUAAGGAAUAGCCACUGGAAACGGUGAGUAAUACCUUAUACGCCCUUCGGGGGAAAGAUUUAUCGGAGAAGGAUCAGCCCGCGUUGGAUUAGAUAGUUGGUGGGGUAAUGGCCUAGCAAGUCUACGAUCCAUAGCUGGUUUGAGAGGAUGAUCAGCCACACUGGGACUGAGACACGGCCCAGACUCCUACGGGAGGCAGCAGUGGGGAAUCUUAGACAAUGGGGGAAACCCUGAUCUAGCCAUGCCGCGUGAGUGAUGAAGGCCUUAGGGUCGUAAAGCUCUUUCGCCAGGGAUGAUAAUGACAGUACCUGGUAAAGAAACCCCGGCUAACUCCGUGCCAGCAGCCGCGGUAAUACGGAGGGGGUUAGCGUUGUUCGGAAUUACUGGGCGUAAAGCGCACGUAGGCGGACUAGUCAGUCAGAGGUGAAAUCCCAGGGCUCAACCCUGGAACUGCCUUUGAUACUGCUAGUCUUGAGUUCGAGAGAGGUGAGUGGAAUUCCGAGUGUAGAGGUGAAAUUCGUAGAUAUUCGGAGGAACACCAGUGGCGAAGGCGGCUCACUGGCUCGAUACUGACGCUGAGGUGCGAAAGUGUGGGGAGCAAACAGGAUUAGAUACCCUGGUAGUCCACACCGUAAACGAUGAAUGCCAGUCGUCGGGCA
rnacentral:rRNA from 1 species